AGCAGCCGCGGUAAUUCCAGCUCCAAUAGCGUAUAUUAAAGUUGUUGCAGUUAAAAAGCUCGUAGUUGAAUUUCGAGACCGGUUUACUGGUCGUGCUUUUGUACGUACUGGUAUUAUUGGUUUCUCCUUUCUGACGAACUAUAAUGCCAUUAAUUUGGUGUUAUAGGGAAUCAGGACUGUUACUUUGAAAAAAUUAGAGUGUUUAAAGCAGGCUCACGCUUGAAUACAUUAGCAUGGAAUAACGGAAUAGGACGUUUGAUUCUAUUUUGUUGGUUUCUAGGAUCGACGUAAUGAUUAAUAGGGAUAGUUGGGGGCAUUAGUAUUCAAUUGUCAGAGGUGAAAUUCUUGGAUUUAUUGAAGACUAACUACUGCGAAAGCAUUUGCCAAGGAUGUUUUCAUUAAUCAAGAACGAAAGUUAGGGGAUCGAAGACGAUCAGAUACCGUCGUAGUCUUAACCAUAAACUAUGCCGA
rnacentral:rRNA from 1 species